UUGAGUCUCGUAGAGGGGGGUAGAAUUCCAGGUGUAGCGGUGAAAUGCGUAGAGAUCUGGAGGAAUACCGGUGGCGAAGGCGGCCCCCUGGACGAAGACUGACGCUCAGGUGCGAAAGCGUGGGGAGCAAACAGGAUUAGAUACCCUGGUAGUCCACGCCGUAAACGAUGUCGACUUGGAGGUUGUGCCCUUGAGGCGUGGCUUCCGGAGCUAACGCGUUAAGUCGACCGCCUGGGGAGUACGGCCGCAAGGUUAAAACUCAAAUGAAUUGACGGGGGCCCGCACAAGCGGUGGAGCAUGUGGUUUAAUUCGAUGCAACGCGAAGAACCUUACCUGGUCUUGACAUCCACGGAAGUUUUCAGAGAUGAGAAUGUGCCUUCGGGAACCGUGAGACAGGUGCUGCAUGGCUGUCGUCAGCUCGUGUUGUGAAAUGUUGGGUUAAGUCCCGCAACGAGCGCAACCCUUAUCCUUUGUUGCCAGCGGUCCGGCCGGGAACUCAAAGGAGACUGCCAGUGAUAAACUGGAGGAAGGUGGGGAUGAC
rnacentral:rRNA from 1 species